GAUGAACGCUAGCGGCAGGCCUAACACAUGCAAGUCGAGGGGCAGCACAGAAACUGCAAUGUUUUGGUGGCGACCGGCGGACGGGUGCGCAACGCGUAUGCAACCUAUCUUUAACAGGGGGAUAACGGAGAGAAAUUUCCACUAAUACCCCAUAACAUCGAUCAAGGCAUCUUGAUUGGUUGAAAACUCCGGUGGUUAAAGAUGGGCAUGCGUUGUAUUAGGUAGUUGGUGAGGUAAUGGCUCACCAAGCCUACGAUACAUAGGGGGACUGAGAGGUUAGCCCCCCACACUGGUACUGAGACACGGACCAGACUCCUACGGGAGGCAGCAGUGAGGAAUAUUGGUCAAUGGGGGCAACCCUGAACCAGCCAUGCCGCGUGCAGGAAGACGGCUCUAUGAGUUGUAAACUGCUUUUAAACAGGGAUAAAGCACAGUAUGUAUACUGUGUUGAAGGUACUGUAAGAAUAAGGAUCGGCUAACUCCGUGCCAGCCGCCGCCGUAA
rnacentral:rRNA from 1 species